CAGCAGCCACGGUAAUACGAGGGGGGCAAGCGUUGUUCGGAAUUAUUGGGCGUAAAGCGCACGUAGGCGGCUUGGUAAGUUAGAGGUGAAAGCCCGGAGCUCAACUCCGGAAUUGCCUUUAAGACUGCCGAGCUAGUAGGUGAGAGAGGUAAGUGGAAUUCCGAGUGUAGAGGUGAAAUUCGCAGAUAUUCGGAAGAACACCAGUGGCGAAGGCGGCUUACUGGCUCAUUCUAGACGCUGAGGUGCAAAAGCGUGGGGAGCAAACAGGAUUAGAUACCCCGGUAGUCCCUGUCUCUUAUAC
rnacentral:rRNA from 1 species